rnacentral:rRNA from 1 species
GACGAACGCUGGCGGCGUGCUUAACACAUGCAAGUCGAGCGGUAAGGCCCUUUCGGGGGUACACGAGCGGCGAACGGGUGAGUAACACGUGGGUGACCUGCCCUCAGCUCUGGGAUAAGCCUGGGAAACCGGGUCUAAUACUGGAUAUGACUCCAUGACGCAUGUUGUGGGGUGGAAAGCCUUGUGCGGCUGAGGAUGGGCCCGCGGCCUAUCAGCUUGUUGGUGGGGUGAGGCCUACCAAGGCGACGACGGUAGCCGGCCUGAGAGGGCGACCGGCCACACUGGGACUGAGACACGGCCCAGACUCCUACGGGAGGCAGCAGUGGGGAAUCUUGCGCAAUGGGCGAAAGCCUGACGCAGCGACGCCGCGUGA